GUUUGUUUGUCUCGGCUCCAGUCAUCACUGCCACGAUUACCCCUGGAUGAAUUCCCCAGUGGAAAUAUCAACAAGGUUGAAGACUCAGAUUGACCCCUCCAAUACUGCAGGAAAGUGGAGGAAGAGGAAAUUUGGACACACAGAAAGAUAUAAGAUGAAUGUAUACACAUAGAGGAAACGCCAUGUGAGGAAAGACCACAGUGAGAAGGUCUGCUGCCAACAGACAGGCUUCAGAAGGAGCCAACUCUGCAAACAACUUGGUCUUGGACUUCUAACCUACAGAACUAUGAGAAAAGAAAUUUAUGUUGUUUAAGUCAUCCAGUCUAUGAUAUUUUUGUUAUAUAUUUACUUUUGUAAGAGUACUCUGGUAAACCUUUUACACACAAUCCUAAUAAGAAUCCUGUGAUGUAGAUAUUUUUGAGAUCCCCAUUUUACAGAUAAAGAAAUGGAAGAAUUGAGAUGUUAAUUAACUUUUUUAUGGUCAAACAGCCAGGGUUUGGAAUGUAGGCAAUUUGAUUCACACUGCUCCCUCUACCUGAUAUACCUUCCCCUUCACUUCUGAAUGGUAAAUUCUAAUCAUCUGUAAAGUCAGAGGAUACAGCUCUUUUCACUAAAUUUCUCCACUUUGGCUUCAAAUUUAUACUGUGAUAUUUGCUUUACUUUAUGUUUUGUUCCAAAUUUGUUGUAGAUGCCUGCUCAGGAAUCUGCUUAGCUCUCCAGGAUGGGGGCCUCACAUUAUUCGCCAUAGCCCUUUGACAUUAAACCUAGACCCCUUCUGAAGUGAGAGCCUAUUAUGGGCUGAAUUGGUACCUGGAUCCUGAUUGCUGACUGAUAGGUAUCCUGGCUAUACACAUGCCAAUUUACAUGUCUAUAAAAAUUCACUUGUUUCAGAAUUCCAUGUUCUAUUCUCUGUUACAUGUGUAGGAAUCUCUGCCAGCCUGAUAUUAAUUACAUCCCCGAAUCAUGAUUGUUCAUAUUUCCCUAUAGCCUUUAUAUAUAGUGUUCUACUCUUUACAUCAACUUUCCCCAGAAUCAGAAGUUCAGUCUCCCCUAAUGCCCUUAGCUUACUGUGCAUAGUCUGUUUCCACGACUCUGCUUAUCCUACACAUGACUGCUGUUAAGCAGGCAAUGUCCAGGCAUGACCUGUGAUAGUCAAUCCUUACAUUUCUGUUAAUGAUUCACUCAUUCAUUCACACAUGCAUUCACUUAUUUAUUUGUUCUUCUGUUUUUCCAUCUAACUAGGAACUUUUUAUAUGCCAGGUAUAAUGUAGAUCAAGGUCAGUUUCCUGAUUUGAUACUAAAAACAUCAACAAGCUUUUAAUGCUACUAACAGUCUGCAAAAAUAUUACCAAAUUAUCCUACACUAAAAUGUAAUUUGAAAACAUAUCACUGAUGAGAUUCAGUAUCUUUCUACUUGUCAACAGGAAGCAAUCUAAAAGAAAAACAGUAACAAGUUGCAAACUAAGAAAUUAAAACAUGUCAUGAGGAUAUGUUAAAUGAAGGCUAGUUGUGGUGUGAUGAUAAGGGACAACUGAAAUUUUCGAGGAUCUGGAAUACUGAAAAAGGAAUACUGUGGAAAAAGACAGAUUGGUGCUGCUCUGGGACUGCCUAUGAGAGAGAAACUCAAUCCAGAACUAGGGUGUUAGUGAUGGUGACAACUGAAUUGAAUAAUGAGUCCAAUUUAGCAAACAUUUUUGAGCAACCCCUAAAUACUAGACAAUUGUAGGAUGCAAAUGGAAAUCAGAUAUAGUCCUUCUCCUCAAGUAGUGGGGAAAAGAGACACAUAAAAUCCUAGCUUUACUAGAAGUAGGAGUGAGGCAAGUGUGGCUGUCGGCAAUAUCAAGCAGCACCUCAGAUGUGCUAUUAUCUGAAGUGAUAUCAGAUGCUGUCAAGAUCCAAAUUUUCUAGGCUUCCCUCUUAAUGAAAUGAACAUAGUACAAUUCCCAGACUUCUGUCUGAUAGUAGAAAACAAGAAAGAAAAAAGUGGAGAUCAGUGCAUUUUGGUGGGUAAUACGGGAACUAUGCUGGAUAUUUAAUAUUUUCCUCUCCCAAUCCAUUUCAUUCUUCUCCACUCUUCUCCCUGCAUAUAAGUUAUACAGUCUAUGGUAUUUUGUUACAGCAGUACAAACAGAUGAAGACACUACAUUCUGAAUUUAAACAAGUUUCUGCUGUGUCAAAAUUGAGACGAGUAUGCACUGACUAGCUGAUAAAAUCGAUUCUAUUUAAUUGGAAUGAUAUUUCUCACUACAAAAUAAUAAGGUAGUAAUAUGACUGAUAAAUCUUUCACAUGCACUUAGAUUUGUAAAUCAACUGGUUAACCUAGAAAACCAAUAAAAUUAGAUUUCUGAACUCUGCACAGAUGAAGAUGAGACUUCGAAGUAGAAGGGAAAUAGGAAACUCAAGUAACUAGCCAACCUUACCCAAUCCUACAGGAAUAAUGCAUAUUUAGAGUAGCUGGUCUAGUAUGGUGAUACAGACCUAACCAUAAUCUAAUUACCAGGCUUAGAGUCGAGUCUGCUGCUGCCCAUGAAAAAUAGUUAAAAUAACUAGUCCUUAGAGGAUUUCAGGAUUGUUAGUACUGUGCUCAGAAAUGGAUGUCCCUCAGGUUCUAAGGAAACAGGGCUCUGCAGAAUUGUAACUACUGGAUACAACCACAGGGUUUUAACAUUUAAAGAUAACACUGGUCAGUCUGAUCUACCAUCCAGGCAGCCCAGUUAGCCAUGGGAAAACCGGAAGUGAUUUUCUUAAAUACAUUUUCUAACAAAGCUUAAACGUGAUAGAAAUAUUGAAAUAUGGUUUAAUUCUCUUGAUUGAAAAAGAAAAUGUGAUCUGUAAAUGAUUCUAUAAACUUUUGACUUAAUUUA